GUCAUUUAUUCCUAGUAUAAGAGACAUACAAUGAUAUUUCUGCGAGUCCAGAUUCACAGUAGCUCAGAAGGUGUAGACUAGAAAUCAUACAAAAAAAACAUACUGCUGAAUCACUGAUCCUCCACCCCAAUGGCAUGUAUUUACACUCAAGCCAGAAGAAAUCAAAUACAGAUUUCCCUCGCUUCGAUCCAUUCCCUUUCCCCACACAAUCUCACUCGACAACUGAUACAAAAACACAUUGAAGCCUGAUAGCUGCCAAAACUUCUCUUUAGCAAUCUCAUGGUCUGUCUUAAAUUGGGGUUAUUCGGCUGACAUUUUUAUACUCUUGUAAUUGUCUGGUAACUCCACACUAACUUAGGUUUAGUCAACCCCAGCCCAGGUCCUAGUGACUCAAGGGCUAUUUAUUCCUCUCAAUUACUGACUAGUUAAUGAUGUGCUUUGUCAAUUUAGCCCCAGGACAUAGCAAUCAAUGGCUCCCAAUUGCAGUUCCUUAUAGAUUGCUGUCUUGUUGAUUUCCGGUAAUUGAAAUUUUCAGCACACCAGGGCCAAAAUAACUUUGCCCGACACUGUGACAGCAGAGUUCUGAGACAGGAUGUAUUUCCUGGGCUGGCUCUACUGACCCUUAUAUGCAUCUCGUCUAUGAAUGUUUAGCGAACUAGUGACUCCCUCAGAUCUUUGCUCUUCUCUCUAGCUCUAUAUACGAUGACCCAUUCAUUGGGGGGGGGGGAGAUUAUUUCAGGGUUAUGUGUGCAUACUCUUUAAACACACGUCGAUUUUGACUUUGAUUUACUGUAGUUUCACAGAGCUGGUAACUCUGGGUGUUGAGCAUUGCUGAAUUUGCGUCCUUGUUCAUUCAUACUGCAAAAUGCCAUGUAAGUCCUCAAAACAAUUUCUUUAGCGAUUCUACACAGUAAAAUGUCUUAUUUUCACAAAGAAAACCUAUUGUAUUUUCGAACUUCUAUGUCUAUCAGAUGAAAAAAAUAAUCUUUUUUUUUUUAAAGCAUGUUCUCUUAGGAUUGGAGCCAAAAACAACAAAUCUGUUUAGCAAGCAUGCAAUAAAAAAGUUGUAUAUUUGAUAAUUUUUGUAGUUGGAUAUUAAUCAAGAAAAACAAAAAGAGACCCUAAACAGAAGCUAGCGCUAUGAGGCCAAAACAAAGAUACAAUGGCAAUCACGAGUGGUAAAACCCGUUGAGCGGUGAAUUGGUGAAACCAGAUGGAUGGCUUCAAAACCCUCCCCACACUUACCCCUCAGGAUGGCAUCCUGGGAAGCAGGAAAACACUUGCGAUGUGGACACAUGUAAAGAAUUACAUUCCAAAACGCAAAAAUAUCCGCUAUGGGAAAUUAGUAAUACCUGAUAUUUGAUGUGAAAGACAGCACCUAAGAGUACGUUACUUUUAUUCUUACUAAUCUGUUCGCCAAAAGAUCAAAAUAACUGAUGAACAACUUGCUGUGAGAAAGUGACGGCAGCGAUCACUUUAUAAAAAUUAAGAUGGGAUUGUUUUUUUCUUUUUUUUGUCAAAUGUUUAAUAUAUUGUUUUGGAAUGAAAGUCUUCAAAUAUACAAUAGAUAUGACACGUUGACAACCAUAUAAAAUGAGACACCAUCUAUAGCGUGGUGGCCAUUUUUAGCUCCGUGUCAUUAAUCACAUACAAUAUUAAAUAAGGCACACAUUUACACAUACAGUUAAAAUUUGGCUAGUAAUUAUUCCUUUAUUUACAACCAAUAACCACAAAGUUAAUAAUAAUUUUACUAACUGCAGUCCAUACUAUGUAAUGUCCAUGUGCCUUCACGGCAUACAAGGUUUUCUCUAGUCCUUUUUGGGCAUUUUUUUAAAUAUAUAUCUUUGCAUCCAUUCGGGAGACGCUACGGAGCACCAUUUUAACAUUCAGUAAAAAAAAAAAAACUUUUUGUAUGCAACUCAACCCAUCUUGCCCAGUCGUGAGCAAAUCUUAUCACAUGGCAACCAAGCACACAACAUCUUAACAACACCUGCCGACUUCCCUAAUUGGUUAGAAUGCUAUGCCAAUUAGCCAAUUAGCUGGUGUGGUGACGCAUGCAUUCAGAGCUCCACGGAACGUGAUUAGACAGCGCUGAUCUCGUAUGCGGGGGGAAGGAUAAUUAACAUAGAAAAUAAAUUAAAGGACCGUCUGUAUUGAAGCGUCUCAUUCCGUAUUAUCGCCAUUAUCAAGGCUGUGAAUGUGUUGAUGAAGUACAUGUUUGCUUUCCCUAGACCUUCGCGGUCCUCAUCUGAAUUGGACUGUGGCCAGUGUUUUUCUUCUUCUUCUUCUUUUAUAGCCUACGACUAAAGUGAGGCCGAAACAAAACUACCUUUAGGGGAGAUGUCUUGCAUCCCACAUUACAUGUACUGCAUAUGUAUACAUAUACCGUGUGGAUAUAAACACACACAUAUAUACAUACACCAGCUUAUAAACACAUCUGAGGGUGGAGGGCAGGGAAGUCAGGGCUGGUUAUCAACACUACAUCUGAGAAAGUAAGCAAAGGCAAAACAAAAGUCCAAUUCAACAGCAUUGCAGGAGGUCAUAGCUUUCAAGUCUUCAAGAUGUCAAUAUAUUUUGUCCGACCCUCCUGUGGCCAUUGUUUAAAAAAUAAAGAAAAAAGAGGAGCAACUUGCAUUUUAAAUGGACAAUGAGAAUAUUGGCAGCCUUUCAUCGUGUGGCAGCAUUACGGUACACUAGUCUGUCAAGGGUUUAUAAGCGAGUAGCUGAGCAAUACCAAUAUGGUACAAAGAUAUUUGUUUGGACAAAAGAGAAGAGAAAAAAAAGCAAAUUUGGUUUCUUGUCCACAUAGCAAACGGCUGCCACGCGUCCAAUCCUCUCUGUAGCAGUCUGUAUUUCAACCGUUUUCUAAGGGAACAUUCAGGAGGGACAAUCUUUCUCCAUAGUCUUAGAAGUUCGCCUCCGUGGAGCUCAGUAGUUGAACUUUCCCUGCUGGUUGACCGGAGAGGUGGCCGGUAUGAACAGGGGCUUGGGCGGGACGUCGGGCUUGAGGGAGGUGGUCCGGCGCACGAUGGCCCCCCGGUGCAUUACCUCCUGCUGCUCGCCGCUGUAGCUGAGCUGCCGCGCCAGGUACCCGUUGGGGAUGACGGGGUAGUGCACCUCGCACGCGCUCCCGGUGGAGUUCAUCCGGGCCAGGAGGGGGGGGGGCUGGUGCGGCCCGCCGUUCCGCUGCCCGAAGCUGUGCUGCCGCGGGAUCAUGCCUCCGCCUCCUCCUGCACCUCCUCCUCCUCCUCCUCCCGCACCUCCUCCUGCUCCACCUCCUGCUCCUCCGUUGGACAUCUUGGCGGCGGCGGCGAGGAGCGAGUGCCUCUGGGAGGAGUGCCUCCGCUCCAGCGUGGACUGGUGGUGAGAGUGAAUGUCCGGCGGGACGUCCAUGCGACGGGUGAGGCUGUCCCGGGGUAACGUGGAGGAGCUGUAGUAGGGCGCUGACUCCGUCUCCGGGAUCUGGGGCUGGAUACGCGUGGCCACUGCCAGCUGGCUGCUGCCGAAGCCGCCGCUGGCCAUCAGACCGGAGGGGCUCAUGAGCUGGGCGUUCUUGCUGCUGCUGCUGGCCUCGUGGAUGUGCUUCAGCAACUCGUCCAGGGAGGUGACUUCCAUGACCUUCUGUGGAUAGCAAGGGUAGGGGUGCUGGGAAAGAAUGCGGUCCACGUUAGGAAUCUUGCGGUCUUCCGGAUGCAGGGGUCCGCACAUCAGUGCCUGCCCGUUGGACAGGCCAUGGGAGUAAGGGUAGCUGGCCUGGUGCAGCAGGGCGGAGCUGGGCCUGGAGCUCAUGUUGUGCGACUUGGGCUCCUUUGCGUUGUUGCAGUUCUGGUUCCGCUCCCACUGGUUCUUGAAGGCCUUCAUGCUCUUGAUUGGCAGCUCGGGCGUGGAUUCCGGGCGUGGGCAGGCCGGACAGCUCCGAGGAGUGGUGCAGGUGGUGGGGGUGCACCAGGUCGCCCAUGGUGACCCCGUGGUGCCCGCUCCUCCGGGGAUGGUGGUGCUCCUUGCUGUUGGAGAAGAAGGAGUUGUAGAUCUUGGGCGAGGACACCUCCAGCUUGUCGUCCUUGUUCUGGCCAUCCAGCAGGCCGUUGAGCUUGGCCAGGCUGCGGAGGGACAGGGCGUGGGGGAUGGGAGCCUCUGGAUCCUUGGCCAGCCUCUUUGUCUUGUGGCCUGUGUGGUUGCAGUAGCAGGAGACCAGGAAGCCGGAGAGAAAGGCGCCCAGGACGAAGGCCACCAGCACACAGGCGAUGAGGAGGGUGUAGUGGACGCUGUGGUUAGACUUAUCCACAUCUGGGGGCCGCCGCACUCCUACACGACAAGAGACAGCGAGGGAGAGAGUCAAUACAGGUUUCAAAAACAGGAAUGGCCAAUUU
ensembl:lncRNA